rnacentral:rRNA from 1 species
UGGGGAAUUUUGGACAAUGGGCGAAAGCCUGAUCCAGCAAUGCCGCGUGUGUGAAGAAGGCCUUCGGGUUGUAAAGCACUUUUGUCCGGAAAGAAAUCCUCUGGGUUAAUACCUCGGGGGGAUGACGGUACCGGAAGAAUAAGCACCGGCUAACUACGUGCCAGCAGCCGCGGUAAUACGUAGGGUGCAAGCGUUAAUCGGAAUUACUGGGCGUAAAGCGUGCGCAGGCGGUUUUGUAAGACGGAUGUGAAAUCCCCGGGCUUAACCUGGGAACUGCAUUCGUGACUGCAAGGCUAGAGUAUGGCAGAGGGGGGUUAGAAUUCCACGUGUAGCAGUGAAAUGCGUAGAGAUGUGGAGGAAUACCGAUGGCGAAGGCAGCCCCCUGGGCCAAUACUGACGCUCAUGCACGAAAGCGUGGGGAGCAAACAGGAUUAGAUACCCUGGUAGUCCACGCCCUAAACGAUGUCAACUAGUUGUUGGGGAUUCAUUUCCUUAGUAACGUAGCUAACGCGUGAAGUUGACCGCCUGGGGAGUACGGUCGCAAGAUUAAAACUUAAAUGAAUUGACGGGGUCUUAGCUGUUUCC